CUUUAAGCCAUUGUUCUACCCAAGAACAAGAGUAAUCAUCUUGAUCAAUUUCUUUUACUUUGAACACUAACCUAUUGUGAGGAACCGUAUCAAAUGCUUUGGCAAAAUUCAAGUAGAUCACAUCCACUGCAACACCCUGAUCUAUACUUCAACUUAUGUCUUCGUAGAAUGCAAUUAGGUUAGCUUGACAUGACCAUUUUCAUAAAACCAUGCUGAUUAUUGCUAAUAACAUUGCUCCUCCCAGUGAAUUCCUGAAUAUUACCACUCAGUAGCCAUUCAGUUACUUUCCCAGUCACAGAAGUUAAGCUCACAGGUCUAUAAUUUCCAGGCACGGAUUUUGAAUCCUUUUUAAAUAUAGGAACAACCUCUGCCUUCCUCCAAUCCUCCAGCACAAUCCAUUGGGCAGACUAGAUGGGCCGAAUGGUUCUUAUCUGCCGUCACAUUCUAUGUUUCUAUUCCUGAAAGAUUAAAUACAGAGGUUCACUUAUUUCCCCACUUAGCUCCUUAAGUACUCGUGGGUGAAUACCUUCAGGC